rnacentral:misc_RNA from 1 species
CCCCCCCCCCCCCCCCCCCCCCCUCCUCCCGCCACUGCUACCUUUACCACCGCUCCUAUAACAACAACAACAACAACAACGACAACCCCAACCCCCCAUGAGACCUUUAUUCCCACUAUUGCUCCUCAGUGGCCCAGAAAGGGCUCUGAUGUCCUCAUUGAAGCCUUGGAACGUGAGGGCGUAACUCACGUCUUUGGAUACCCAGGAGGGGCUUCCAUGGAGAUUCAUCAAGCUCUCACCCGCUCCAAUGUAAUCCGUAAUAUUCUACCAAGACAUGAGCAAGGUGGAAUCUUUGCUGCUGAGGGCUA